rnacentral:rRNA from 1 species
UACGUAGGGUGCGAGCGUUGCCCGGAUUUAUUGGGCGUAAAGGGCGCGUAGGCGGCUCGGCACGUCCGUUGUGAAAUCGCCCGGCUCAACUGGGCGGGGUCAGCGGAUACGGUCGAGCUUGAGCAAGCUAGGGGGUAAUGGAAUUCCCGGUGUAGCGGUGAAAUGCGCAGAUAUCAGGAGGAACACCGAUGGCGAAGGCAGGUCUCUGGGCAUUAACUGACGCUGAGGAGCGAAAGCAUGGGGAGCGAACAGG